rnacentral:rRNA from 1 species
GACGAACGCUGGCGGCGUGCUUAACACAUGCAAGUCGAACGGAAAGGCCUGCUUUCCCUUGUGUAUUGCGGGUACUCGAGUGGCGAACGGGUGAGUAACACGUGAGUGAUCUGCCCCCAACUUGGGUAUAAGCCUGGGAAACUGGGUCUAAUUCCCGAUAGAACUGCAGGGUGGUGCCUGUUGUGGAAAACGAUUUUCUAGUGGUUGGGGAUUAGCUGGCGGCCUAUCAGCUUGUUGGUGGGGUAAUGGCCUACCAAGGCGGCGACGGGUAGCCGGCCGGGGAGGGUGGACGGGCACAUUGGGACUGAGAUAAGGCCCAGACUCGUACGGGAGGUAGGAGUGGGGAAUCUAGGAACAUGGGCGGAAGCCUGAUGCAGCGACGGCGUGUGGGGGAUGACGGCCUUGGGGUUGUAAACUCCUUUCGACCGCGAGGAAGCCACCUGGUUGGAAGGGUGGUGACGGUAGGGGUAGAAGAAGCACCGGCUAACUACGUG